GACGAACGCUGGCGGCGUGCUUAACACAUGCAAGUCGAACGGAAAGGCCCUGCUUUUGUGGGGUGCUCGAGUGGCGAACGGGUGAGUAACACGUGAGUAACCUGCCCUUGACUUUGGGAUAACUUCAGGAAACUGGGGCUAAUACCGGAUAGGAGCUCCUGCUGCAUGGUGGGGGUUGGAAAGUUUCGGCGGUUGGGGAUGGACUCGCGGCUUAUCAGCUUGUUGGUGGGGUAGUGGCUUACCAAGGCUUUGACGGGUAGCCGGCCUGAGAGGGUGACCGGCCACAUUGGGACUGAGAUACGGCCCAGACUCCUACGGGAGGCAGCAGUGGGGAAUAUUGCACAAUGGCGGAAGCCUGAUGCAGCAACGCCGCGUGCGGGAUGACGGCCUUCGGGUUGUAAACCGCUUUCGCCUGUGACGAAGCGUAAGUGACGGUAAUGGGUAAAGAAGCACCGGCUAACUACGUG
rnacentral:rRNA from 1 species